rnacentral:rRNA from 1 species
AGAGUUUGAUCCUGGCUCAGAUUGAACGCUGGCGGCAGGCCUAACACAUGCAAGUCGAGCGGUAGCACAGAGAGCUUGCUCUCGGGUGACGAGCGGCGGACGGGUGAGUAAUGUCUGGGAAACUGCCUGAUGGAGGGGGAUAACUACUGGAAACGGUAGCUAAUACCGCAUAACGUCGCAAGACCAAAGAGGGGGACCUUCGGGCCUCUUGCCAUCAGAUGUGCCCAGAUGGGAUUAGCUAGUAGGUGGGGUAACGGCUCACCUAGGCGACGAUCCCUAGCUGGUCUGAGAGGAUGACCAGCCACACUGGAACUGAGACACGGUCCAGACUCCUACGGGAGGCAGCAGUGGGGAAUAUUGCACAAUGGGCGCAAGCCUGAUGCAGCCAUGCCGCGUGUAUGAAGAAGGCCUUCGGGUUGUAAAGUACUUUCAGCGAGGAGGAAGGUGCUGAGGUUAAUAACCUCAGCAAUUGACGUUACUCGCAGAAGAAGCACCGGCUAACUCCGUGCCAGCAGCCGCGGUAAUACGGAGGGUGCAAGCGUUAAUCGGAAUUACUGGGCGUAAAGCGCACGCAGGCGGUCUGUCAAGUCGGAUGUGAAAUCCCCGGGCUCAACCUGGGAACUGCAUUCGAAACUGGCAGGCUAGAGUCUUGUAGAGGGGGGUAGAAUUCCAGGUGUAGCGGUGAAAUGCGUAGAGAUCUGGAGGAAUACCGGUGGCGAAGGCGGCCCCCUGGACAAAGACUGACGCUCAGGUGCGAAAGCGUGGGGAGCAAACAGGAUUAGAUACCCUGGUAGUCCACGCCGUAAACGAUGUCGACUUGGAGGUUGUGCCCUUGAGGCGUGGCUUCCGGAGCUAACGCGUUAAGUCGACCGCCUGGGGAGUACGGCCGCAAGGUUAAAACUCAAAUGAAUUGACGGGGGCCCGCACAAGCGGUGGAGCAUGUGGUUUAAUUCGAUGCAACGCGAAGAACCUUACCUACUCUUGACAUCCAGAGAACUUAGCAGAGAUGCUUUGGUGCCUUCGGGAACUCUGAGACAGGUGCUGCAUGGCUGUCGUCAGCUCGUGUUGUGAAAUGUUGGGUUAAGUCCCGCAACGAGCGCAACCCUUAUCCUUUGUUGCCAGCGGUUAGGCCGGGAACUCAAAGGAGACUGCCAGUGAUAAACUGGAGGAAGGUGGGGAUGACGUCAAGUCAUCAUGGCCCUUACGAGUAGGGCUACACACGUGCUACAAUGGCGCAUACAAAGAGAAGCGACCUCGCGAGAGCAAGCGGACCUCAUAAAGUGCGUCGUAGUCCGGAUUGGAGUCUGCAACUCGACUCCAUGAAGUCGGAAUCGCUAGUAAUCGUAGAUCAGAAUGCUACGGUGAAUACGUUCCCGGGCCUUGUACACACCGCCCGUCACACCAUGGGAGUGGGUUGCAAAAGAAGUAGGUAGCUUAACCUUCGGGAGGGCGCUUACCACUUUGUGAUUCAUGACUGGGGUGAAGUCGUAACAAGGUAACC